rnacentral:rRNA from 1 species
UUAAGCGACUAAGCGUACACGGUGGAUGCCCUGGCAGUCAGAGGCGAUGAAGGACGUGCUAAUCUGCGAUAAGCGUCGGUAAGGUGAUAUGAACCGUUAUAACCGGCGAUUUCCGAAUGGGGAAACCCAGUGUGAUUCGUCACACUAUCAUUAACUGAAUCCAUAGGUUAAUGAGGCGAACCGGGGGAACUGAAACAUCUAAGUACCCCGAGGAAAAGAAAUCAACCGAGAUUCCCCCAGUAGCGGCGAGCGAACGGGGAGCAGCCCAGAGCCUGAAUCAGUGUGUGUGUUAGUGGAAGCGUCUGGAAAGGCGCGCGAUACAGGGUGACAGCCCCGUACACAAAAAUGCACAUACUGUGAGCUCGAUGAGUAGGGCGGGACACGUGGUAUCCUGUCUGAAUAUGGGGGGACCAUCCUCCAAGGCUAAAUACUCCUGACUGACCGAUAGUGAACCAGUACCGUGAGGGAAAGGCGAAAAGAACCCCGGCGAGGGGAGUGAAAAAGAACCUGAAACCGUGUACGUACAAGCAGUGGGAGCACGCUUAGGCGUGUGACUGCGUACCUUUUGUAUAAUGGGUCAGCGACUUAUAUUCUGUAGCAAGGUUAACCGAAUAGGGGAGCCGAAGGGAAACCGAGUCUUAACUGGGCGUUAAGUUGCAGGGUAUAGACCCGAAACCCGGUGAUCUAGCCAUGGGCAGGUUGAAGGUUGGGUAACACUAACUGGAGGACCGAACCGACUAAUGUUGAAAAAUUAGCGGAUGACUUGUGGCUGGGGGUGAAAGGCCAAUCAAACCGGGAGAUAGCUGGUUCUCCCCGAAAGCUAUUUAGGUAGCGCCUCGUGAAUUCAUCUCCGGGGGUAGAGCACUGUUUCGGCAAGGGGGUCAUCCCGACUUACCAACCCGAUGCAAACUGCGAAUACCGGAGAAUGUUAUCACGGGAGACACACGGCGGGUGCUAACGUCCGUCGUGAAGAGGGAAACAACCCAGACCGCCAGCUAAGGUCCCAAAGUCAUGGUUAAGUGGGAAACGAUGUGGGAAGGCCCAGACAGCCAGGAUGUUGGCUUAGAAGCAGCCAUCAUUUAAAGAAAGCGUAAUAGCUCACUGGUCGAGUCGGCCUGCGCGGAAGAUGUAACGGGGCUAAACCAUGCACCGAAGCUGCGGCAGCGACGCUUAUGCGUUGUUGGGUAGGGGAGCGUUCUGUAAGCCUGCGAAGGUGUGCUGUGAGGCAUGCUGGAGGUAUCAGAAGUGCGAAUGCUGACAUAAGUAACGAUAAAGCGGGUGAAAAGCCCGCUCGCCGGAAGACCAAGGGUUCCUGUCCAACGUUAAUCGGGGCAGGGUGAGUCGACCCCUAAGGCGAGGCCGAAAGGCGUAGUCGAUGGGAAACAGGUUAAUAUUCCUGUACUUGGUGUUACUGCGAAGGGGGGACGGAGAAGGCUAUGUUGGCCGGGCGACGGUUGUCCCGGUUUAAGCGUGUAGGCUGGUUUUCCAGGCAAAUCCGGAAAAUCAAGGCUGAGGCGUGAUGACGAGGCACUACGGUGCUGAAGCAACAAAUGCCCUGCUUCCAGGAAAAGCCUCUAAGCAUCAGGUAACAUCAAAUCGUACCCCAAACCGACACAGGUGGUCAGGUAGAGAAUACCAAGGCGCUUGAGAGAACUCGGGUGAAGGAACUAGGCAAAAUGGUGCCGUAACUUCGGGAGAAGGCACGCUGAUAUGUAGGUGAAGUCCCUCGCGGAUGGAGCUGAAAUCAGUCGAAGAUACCAGCUGGCUGCAACUGUUUAUUAAAAACACAGCACUGUGCAAACACGAAAGUGGACGUAUACGGUGUGACGCCUGCCCGGUGCCGGAAGGUUAAUUGAUGGGGUUAGCGCAAGCGAAGCUCUUGAUCGAAGCCCCGGUAAACGGCGGCCGUAACUAUAACGGUCCUAAGGUAGCGAAAUUCCUUGUCGGGUAAGUUCCGACCUGCACGAAUGGCGUAAUGAUGGCCAGGCUGUCUCCACCCGAGACUCAGUGAAAUUGAACUCGCUGUGAAGAUGCAGUGUACCCGCGGCAAGACGGAAAGACCCCGUGAACCUUUACUAUAGCUUGACACUGAACAUUGAGCCUUGAUGUGUAGGAUAGGUGGGAGGCUUUGAAGUGUGGACGCCAGUCUGCAUGGAGCCGACCUUGAAAUACCACCCUUUAAUGUUUGAUGUUCUAACGUUGACCCGUAAUCCGGGUUGCGGACAGUGUCUGGUGGGUAGUUUGACUGGGGCGGUCUCCUCCUAAAGAGUAACGGAGGAGCACGAAGGUUGGCUAAUCCUGGUCGGACAUCAGGAGGUUAGUGCAAUGGCAUAAGCCAGCUUGACUGCGAGCGUGACGGCGCGAGCAGGUGCGAAAGCAGGUCAUAGUGAUCCGGUGGUUCUGAAUGGAAGGGCCAUCGCUCAACGGAUAAAAGGUACUCCGGGGAUAACAGGCUGAUACCGCCCAAGAGUUCAUAUCGACGGCGGUGUUUGGCACCUCGAUGUCGGCUCAUCACAUCCUGGGGCUGAAGUAGGUCCCAAGGGUAUGGCUGUUCGCCAUUUAAAGUGGUACGCGAGCUGGGUUUAGAACGUCGUGAGACAGUUCGGUCCCUAUCUGCCGUGGGCGCUGGAGAACUGAGGGGGGCUGCUCCUAGUACGAGAGGACCGGAGUGGACGCAUCACUGGUGUUCGGGUUGUCAUGCCAAUGGCACUGCCCGGUAGCUAAAUGCGGAAGAGAUAAGUGCUGAAAGCAUCUAAGCACGAAACUUGCCCCGAGAUGAGUUCUCCCUGACUCCUUGAGAGUCCUGAAGGAACGUUGAAGACGACGACGUUGAUAGGCCGGGUGUGUAAGCGCAGCGAUGCGUUGAGCUAACCGGUACUAAUGAACCGUGAGGCUUAACCUU